GUCGAGAAUAAUUCACAAUGGACGAAAGUCUGAUGGUGCAACGCCGCGUGGAGGAUGACGGUCUUCGGAUUGUAAACUCCUGUCAUCCGGGAGUAAGACCUGGCUGUGAAUAGCAGACAGGGUUGAUAGUACCGGAAGAGGAAGGGACGGCUAACUUCGUGCCAGCAGCCGCGGUAAUACGAAGGUCCCGAGCGUUGUUCGGAAUCACUGGGCGUAAAGGGAGCGUAGGCGGCGUGGUAAGUCAGAGGUGAAAUCCCGGGGCUCAACCCCGGAACUGCAUCCGAUACUGCCGUGCUAGAGGAUUGGAGAGGUAGCUGGAAUUCUUGGUGUAGCAGUGAAAUGCGUGGAGAUCAAGAGGAACACUCGUGGCGAAAGCGAGCUACUGGACAAUAUCUGACGCUGAGGCUCGAAGGCCAGGGUAGCGAAAGGGAUUAGAAACCCCAGUAGUCC
rnacentral:rRNA from 1 species